GUUCUUGUAGUUGAAUACAACGAUGAUUUUUCAUGUCGUAUGUCAUGGUUAAAGUCCAUGCAGGAACUA
rnacentral:tRNA from 1 species